CACUGUGGCCAUCGAGACUUAGAAUUAUACACUCAAGGUUUCACUUUCCAAUUAGGUUAUUAUAACAGUUUUACUAAUUAAUGACAAUGUUCUAUAUUGUUAUCAUAUUAUCUUGUUACGCUCAAGAUAUAGAUCGAGUGUUAAGAAAAUUUUAAAUUGAUUUAAUUAUUUACUUUUUGUUUCGUAUUCUUCCAUUAUUAGGUGAUUAGAGUUGGUAUUAUGUAUACCUUAAUGUGUAAUUUAUGAUAAUGUGAUAGAAGUAAUUGUCGAGAGCUUGGUAACCCUACAUCACAAUGGUUGUGACGCAAGCACUGUCAAUAGUUUAGUGGGUGACAAGGUAUCGCAAUCGCGGCAUUAGCGUUCUGAGCGAUGACUCUCAUGACUCCAAGGACGGCGGCAAAUACCAAAUGACGAUAUAUGUCAAUAUUUAAACUGUGCGUUUUUUGUUCGUGAGACACUCGCGAGUGCAUAGUUUGAUAGUUCCUGUUAAUUUAUAACAUAUAUAGUUUUUAUGACUAUCAAAAAUAGACGAAACCAUAGGUGUUUGGAGUGAAAAUAAAUCAGUAGAAUACAAAGUAAAUUAAGAACAUACAAAUGGAAACCCUCUAAGGACUUCGUCUGUUUCAUAAGGAAUUGUACGUAAUUGGUUAUCAAUGUAUGUCAAACGAUACUUACCCACAUUUCGUUGAGAGGUUGAGGGGAAAGAGAGGCUGGAGCAGACGACACAGCGGAGUCUUCGUCCGACGGACCCUCCUGAAUGAUAAAUCGAAAAUCAUAUAUGCAUAUACUAGUGUUCAUAAUUAUCUUCCAAAGAAUACAUUGCCAUUUCAUUGAAUUUAUUUUAUAUAAUUUCAUAAUGUUUUUAGGAAGUAAAACUCCAAAGUAAAGCCUCUAUGUUCAUUAUUCUACAUUAAAUCGUUUCAGAUUUUAUCGAUAGUCAUAAAGCACUAGUAGAUAAUUUGAAUAUAGAUACAAAUAGUUAAUUUAUUUUAAGUGAAAGUAACUUACUGUAUUGAAUAUAGACUUUUGUUUCAAUAGUAAUAUUUUCAAAACAUA